rnacentral:rRNA from 1 species
UUAAAUUGAAGAGUUUGAUCAUGGCUCAGAUUGAACGCUGGCGGCAGGCCUAACACAUGCAAGUCGAACGGUAACAGGAAGAAGCUUGCUUCUUUGCUGACGAGUGGCGGACGGGUGAGUAAUGUCUGGGAAACUGCCUGAUGGAGGGGGAUAACUACUGGAAACGGUAGCUAAUACCGCAUAACGUCGCAAGACCAAAGAGGGGGACCUUCGGGCCUCUUGCCAUCGGAUGUGCCCAGAUGGGAUUAGCUAGUAGGUGGGGUAACGGCUCACCUAGGCGACGAUCCCUA